rnacentral:rRNA from 1 species
GACGAACACUGGCGGCGUGCUUAACACAUGCAAGUCGAACGGAAAGGCCCUGCUUUUGUGGGGUGCUCGAGUGGCGAACGGGUGAGUAACACGUGAGUAACCUGCCCUUGACUUUGGGAUAACUUCAGGAAACUGGGGCUAAUACCGGAUAGGAGCUCCUGCUGCAUGGUGGGGGUUGGAAAGUUUCGGCGGUUGGGGAUGGACUCGCGGCUUAUCAGCUUGUUGGUGGGGUAGUGGCUUACCAAGGCUUUGACGGGUAGCCGGCCUGAGAGGGUAACCGGCCACAUUGGGACUGAGAUACGGCCCAGACUCCUACGGGAGGCAGCAGUGGGGAAUAUUGCACAAUGGGCGGAAGCCUGAUGCAGCAACGCCGCGUGCGGGAUGACGGCCUUCGGGUUGUAAACCGCUUUCGCCUGUGACGAAGCGUGAGUGACGGUAAUGGGUAAAGAAGCACCGGCUAACUACGUG